GCUCUCAUGGUCUAGUGGUCUAGGACGCCUGCCUCUCACGCAGGAGGACGCGGGUUCGAAACCCGCUGGGAGCGCCA
rnacentral:tRNA from 1 species